AGACUUACCUGGCAGGGGCAAUACCAUGAUCACGAAGGUGGUUUUCCCAGGGCAGGGCUCAUCCAUUGCACUCUGGACGUGCUGACCCUUGCGAUUUCCCCAAAUGUGGGAAACUCGACCGCAUAAUCUGUGGUAGUGGGGGACUGUGUUCACGCUUUCCCCUG